rnacentral:rRNA from 1 species
UACGUAGGGUGCAAGCGUUAAUCGGAAUUACUGGGCGUAAAGCGUGCGCAGGCGGUUGUGCAAGACCGAUGUGAAAAUCCCCGGGCUUAACCUGGGAAUGGCAUUGGUGACUGCACGGCUAGAGUGUGUCAGGAGGGGGUAGAAUUCCACGUGUAGCAGUGAAAUGCGUAGAUAUGGGGAGGAACACCGGUGGCGAAGGCAGCCCCCUGGGACGUCACUGACGCUCAUGCACGAAAGGCGUGGGAGCAAACAGG